rnacentral:rRNA from 1 species
CAUUACCGAGUUAUACAACUCAUCAACCCUGUGAACAUACCUAAAACAUUGCUUCGGCGGGAACAGACGGCCCUGUAACAACGGGCCGCCCCCGCCAGAGGACCCCUAACUCUGUUUUUAUAAUGUUUUUCUGAGUAAACAAGCAAAUAAAUUAAAACUUUCAACAACGGAUCUCUUGGCUCUGGCAUCGAUGAAGAACGCAGCGAAAUGCGAUAAGUAAUGUGAAUUGCAGAAUUCAGUGAAUCAUCGAAUCUUUGAACGCACAUUGCGCCCGCCAGUAUUCUGGCGGGCAUGCCUGUUCGAGCGUCAUUACAACCCUCAGGCCCCCGGGCCUGGCGUUGGGGAUCGGCAGAAGCCCCCUGUGGGCACACGCCGUCCCUCAAAUACAGUGGCGGUCCCGCCGCAGCUUCCAUUGCGUAGUAGCUAACACCUCGCAACUGGAGAGCGGCGCGGCCAUGCCGUAAAACACCCAACUUCUGAAUGUUGACCUCGAAUCAGGUAGGAAUACCCGCUGAACUUAAGCAUAUCAAUAG